UCGAACGGGAUCCAUCGGGCUUUGCUUGGUGGUGAGAGUGGCGAACGGGUGAGUAAUGCGUGACCGACCUGCCCCAUGCACCGGAAUAGCUCCUGGAAACGGGUGGUAAUGCCGGAUGCUCCAUCACACCGCAUGGUGUGUUGGGAAAGCCUUUGCGGCAUGGGAUGGGGUCGCGUCCUAUCAGCUUGAUGGCGGGGUAACGGCCCACCAUGGCUUCGACGGGUAGCCGGCCUGAGAGGGCGACCGGCCACAUUGGGACUGAGAUACGGCCCAGACUCCUACGGGAGGCAGCAGUGGGGAAUAUUGCACAAUGGGCGCAAGCCUGAUGCAGCGACGCCGCGUGAGGGAUGGAGGCCUUCGGGUUGUAAACCUCUUUUGUUAGGGAGCAAGGCAUUUUUUGUUGAGUGUACCUUUCGAAUAAGCACCGGCUAACUACGUGCCAGCAGCCGCGGUAAUACGUAGGGUGCAAGCGUUAUCCGGAAUUAUUGGGCGUAAAGGGCUCGUAGGCGGUUCGUCGCGUCCGGUGUGAAAGUCCAUCGCUUAACGGUGGAUCCGCGCCGGGUACGGGCGGGCUUGAGUGCGGUAGGGGAGACUGGAAUUCCCGGUGUAACGGUGGAAUGUGUAGAUAUCGGGAAGAACACCAAUGGCGAAGGCAGGUCUCUGG
rnacentral:rRNA from 1 species